UCGCCACGGUAAUACGAAGGGUGCAAGCGUUAAUCGGAAUUACUGGGCGUAAAGCGUGCGUAGGUGGUGGUUUAAGUCCGUUGUGAAAGCCCUGGGCUCAACCUGGGAAUUGCAGUGGAUACUGGGUCACUAGAGUGUGGUAGAGGAUAGUGGAAUUUCCGGUGUAGUAGUGAAAUGCGUAGAGAUCGGAAGGAACAUCUGUGGCGAAGGCGACUAUCUGGGCCAACACUGACACUGAGGCACGAAAGCGUGGGGAGCAAACAGGAUUAGAUACCCCAGUAGUCCCUGUCUCUUAUACACA
rnacentral:rRNA from 1 species